rnacentral:rRNA from 1 species
AACGAACGCUGGCGGCAUGCCUAACACAUGCAAGUCGAACGAGACCUUCGGGUCUAGUGGCGCACGGGUGCGUAACGCGUGGGAAUCUGCCCUUGGGUUCGGAAUAACAGUUAGAAAUGACUGCUAAUACCGGAUAAUGUCUUCGGACCAAAGAUUUAUCGCCCAGGGAUGAGCCCGCGUAGGAUUAGCUAGUUGGUGAGGUAAAGGCUCACCAAGGCGACGAUCCUUAGCUGGUCUGAGAGGAUGAUCAGCCACACUGGGACUGAGACACGGCCCAGACUCCUACGGAGGCAGCAGUGGGGAAUAUUGGACAAUGGGCGAAAGCCUGAUCCAGCAAUGCCGCGUGAGUGAUGAAGGCCUUAGGGUUGUAAAGCUCUUUUACCCGGGAUGAUAAUGACAGUACCGGAGAAUAAGCCCCGCUAACUCCGUGCCAGCAGCCGCGGUAA